rnacentral:lncRNA from 1 species
CUGAAAGGCAAAUCUGUCUCUUAAACUUCCCCAGAGAGAUCUUUCAGGGAGAGCUAAUAUCUGUAGCUAUUUUGGGAAGGUCACCUAUUAAACAAGAACCUUGUGUGCUGAAUUCAUUUGGGGCUAGCACUCAAGGUCGUGGACAUCCAUGAAUCAAAAUGUUCCCGAAUGUGGAUUGUCUGCAGCCAGUUGGAAUCUGGUGGAAUUUCUUCAGGAACUGGAACACCAUCCUUAUCCCUACAGCCUCCACUGAUGUCACAAAACUCUACAAAGGAGCCCUCCAAUGGAUCUCAAAUCUUUCCAUACAUUUGAAUGGCAGAUCCAUUUUAUUCCAAGGAAUGUUCUCAGGAGCAGAGAUGUGUGGCCCAGAGGCUCACAUAUUCUUUUCUGGUUGGUGGUUGUGAAAUGCACGGUGUGGUGGUAAAGGUCCAGGAGCCUGGCAUUUCUUGAAUUUGGACUUGGGCCAGAUGAACAAAAGUGAAGUGGUGGCAAAGUGCUGGACCAGAUGUUAGAAGUCUCCAAUUUGCUCUCGACAACAACAAUCCACAAGUAACCCUGAGAAAAGUCAUCUCUGUUUCCCCACUGGUAAAUAAUGGUAAGAAAAAUAGUGCCUAGUGGGGCUUACGUAGAGGACUGGGAAGCUGAACUGUGAAAAAUGAUUCCAAGGUUUCUGGUCACCAUGGCUACUACUCUUUUGUACCCAGUUCUUUGCUCCUCAAGGAGCCUUGUUUUCUAUACUUGUGAAUAUUUC